rnacentral:lncRNA from 1 species
CCAGUUUGUGGUUCACAAUGUAAUAACAAUAUUAAUAACAUAUACAAUAACUGAUCAUUACAGGGUGCCAAAACCAUCGUGUGACAGGUUGUUGGGGAACAGGCUGUUUAAAUAGUCUGACAGAACCACUCACAUGUUACUUAUUAAUUACAAACAGGAAAAUGUGCCUUUACAUGGUGAGAUCUGGCGUUAUGUGCCUCCUGAGGGGAUGCAGUGGGAGGUGCACAACGUCA